UCGAGGAUCUUCGGCAAUGGGCGCAAGCCUGACCGAGCGACGCCGCGUGUGCGAUGAAGGCCUUCGGGUCGUAAAGCACUGUCGUGGGGGAGAAAAGGGGCAACCCUUGAUCGACCCCAGGAGGAAGCACGGGCUAAGUUCGUGCCAGCAGCCGCGGUAAGACGAACCGUGCAAACGUUAUUCGGAAUCACUGGGCUUAAAGGGCGCGUAGGCGGGCCGUCAGGUCCGGGGUGAAAGCCUCCAGCUUAACUGGAGAAGUGCCUUGGAUACCGGCGGCCUCGAGGGAGGCAGGGGCGUGCGGAACUUCGGGUGGAGCGGUGAAAUGCGUAGAUAUCCGAAGGAACACCGGUGGCGAAAGCGGCGCGCUGGACCUCUUCUGACGCUGAGGCGCGAAAGCCAGGGGAGCAAACGGGAUUAGAUACCCCUGUAGUCC
rnacentral:rRNA from 1 species